rnacentral:rRNA from 1 species
AACGAGAAGUACGUAGCAAUACGUAUUGUAAAGUGGCGCACGGGUGAGUAACACGUGGGUAAUCUGCCCUUGAGUUUGGGAUAACCCCGCGAAAGCGGGGCUAAUACCGAAUAAGACCACGGGGACCAAAGUCCCUGAGGUAAAAGAUGGCCUCUAUUUAUAAGCUAUCUCUUGAGGAUGAGCCCGCGGCCCAUUAGCUAGUUGGUAGGGUAAUGGCCUACCAAGGCUAUGAUGGGUAGCUGGUCUGAGAGGACGAUCAGCCACACUGGAACUGAGACACGGUCCAGACUCCUACGGGAGGCAGCAGUGGGGAAUAUUGCGCAAUGGGCGAAAGCCUGACGCAGCAACGCCGCGUGGGGGAUGAAGGUUUUCGGAUUGUAAACCCCUUUCGAUCGGAACGAAUCUCCUCUUGGUAAAUAAUCAGGAGGAUCGACGGUACCGGGAGAAGAAGCCACGGCUAACUCUGUGCCAGCAGCCGCGGUAAGACAGAGGUGGCGAGCGUUGUUCGGAUUUAUUGGGCGUAAAGCGAACGCAGGUGGUUUGGUAAGUCAGGGGUGAAAGUCCACAGCUUAACUGUGGCACUGCCUUUGAUACUGCCUUUCUUGAGUGCAUGAGGGGGAAGCGGAAUUCCGAGUGUAGAGGUGAAAUUCGUAGAUAUUCGGAGGAACACCGGUGGCGAAGGCGGCUUCCUGGCAUGUAACUGACACUCAUGUUCGAAAGCGUGGGUAGCAAACAGGAUUAGAUACCCUGGUAGUCC